rnacentral:tRNA from 1 species
UCGAUGUACUCGAAGUUGAUCGCCAGCAGGCCGUCUUCGGAACUGCCAUUGAUCGGGAAGAAGUGCAUGCCGUCGUGGUGCAUGCCCAUGGCAUUGGCC